rnacentral:rRNA from 1 species
GUUUUAUUGAAAUUAAUAUUAAGUCAAAUCUGCUCAAUGAAAAUUAAAUAGCUGCAGUAUAAAUAACUGUACAAAGGUAGCAAAAUAAUUAGUUUUUUUAUUGGAAACUAGAAUGAAAGAUUUAAUGCAAUAUAAACUUUUUUAAAUUUAGCAAAUAAACUUUUUAAUUAAAUUAAAAAAUUUAAAUAAUUAUUAAAGACGAGAAGACCCUAUUGAACUUUAUUAAUUUUUUUUAUUAAAAUUUUAAUUUAAUAAUUUAAAUUAAUUUGAUUGGGGAAAUUUUAAAAUUUAAUUAAUUUUUAAUUAAUAAAAACAUUUAUUUUUGAAUAAAUUUAAUUUUUUAAAUUAAUAAAUUAAGUUACCUUAGGGAUAACAGCAUAAUUUUUUUUAAAAGUUCUAAUUUAAAAAAAAGUUUAU